rnacentral:rRNA from 1 species
GAUGAACGCUGGCGGCGUGCUUAACACAUGCAAGUCGAACGAUUGAAGCUGGAGCUUGCUCCGGCCGAUUUAGUGGCGGGCGGGUGAGUAACGCGUGAGUAACCUGCCUCAUACAGGGGGAUAGCAGUUGGAAACGACUGGUAAAACCGCAUAAGCGCACGGUGUCGCAUGACACAGUGUGAAAACACUCCGGUGGUAUGAGAUGGACCCGCGUCUGAUUAGCUAGUUGGUGAGGUAACGGCCCACCAAGGCGACGAUCAGUAGCCGGCCUGAGAGGGUGAACGGCCACAUUGGGACUGAGACACGGCCCAAAACUCCUACGGGAGCAGCAGUGGGAAUAUGGCACAAUGGGGGAAACCCUGAUGCAGCGACGCCGCGUGAGUGAUGAAGUAUUCGGUAUGUAAAGCUACUAUCAGCAGGGAAGAUAAUGACGGUACCUGACU